rnacentral:rRNA from 1 species
UCGAACGAGGUAGCAAUACCUAGUGGCGAACGGGUGAGUAUAAUGUGGGUAUCUGCCUUUUGGUUUGGAAUAACAUGAGGAAACUUGUGCUAAUACCAGAUAAGCCCUUACGGGGAAAGUUUUAACGCCGAAAGAUGAGCCCGCACUUGAUUAGCUAGUUGGUAAGGUAAUGGCUUACCAAGGCUUCGAUCAAUAGCUGAUCUGAGAGGAUGAUCAGCCACAUUGGGACUGAGACACGGCCCAGACUCCUACGGGAGGCAGCAGUGGGGAAUCUUGCACAAUGGGGGAAACCCUGAUGCAGCGAUGCCGCGUGAGUGAAGAAGGCCUUUGGGUUGUAAAGCUCUUUCGUCGGGGAAGAAAAUGACUGUACCCGAAUAAGAAGGUCCGGCUAACUUCGUGCCAGCAGCCGCGGUAAUACGAAGGGACCUAGCGUAGUUCGGAAUUACUGGGCUUAAAGAGCUCGUAGGUGGUUAGAAAAGUUGGUGGUGAAAUCCCAAGGCUUAACCUUGGAACUGCCACCAAAACUUUUUGACUAGAGUGUGAUAGAGGAAAGUGGAAUUUCUAGUGUAGAGGUGAAAUUCGUAGAUAUUAGAAAGAACACCAAUUGCGAAGGCAACUUUCUGGAUCAUUACUGACACUGAGGAGCGAAAGCAUGGGUAGCGAAGAGGAUUAGAUACCCUCGUAGUCCAUGCUGUAAACGAUGUGUGCUAGACGUU